CAAUAGCGUAUAUUUAAGUUGUUGCAGUUAAAAAGCUCGUAGUUGGAUUUCGGUUAAGAGCGACCGGUCCGCCGUUUGGUGUGCACUGGUUGGUUUUAACUUCCUGUAGAGGACGUGCUCUGGGUUUAACGACCUGGACUCGGAGUCUACGUGGUUACUUUGAAAGAAUUAGAGUGUUCAAAGCGGGCUUACGCUUGAAUAUUUCAGCAUGGAAUAACACUAUAGGACUCCUGUCCUAUUUCGUUGGUCUCGGGACGGGAGUAAUGAUUAAGAGGAACAGUUGGGGGCAUUCGUAUUUCAUUGUCAGAGGUGAAAUUCUUGGAUUUAUGAAAGACGAACUUCUGCGAAAGCAUUUGCCAAGGAUGUUUUCAUUAA
rnacentral:rRNA from 1 species